rnacentral:rRNA from 1 species
GACGAACGCUGGCGGCGUGCUUAACACAUGCAAGUCGAACGGGGCUUGCCCUUUGGGGUGGGUUUAGUGGCGAACGGGUGAGUAACACGUGGGUAAUCUGCCCUCAGCUCUGGGAUAACUCCGGGAAACCGGGGCUAAUACUGGAUAUGACUACUGGUGACAUCGCCUGGUGGUGGAAAGAUUUUCUGGCUGAGGAUGGGCCCGCGGCCUAUCAGCUUGUUGGUGGGGUAAUGGCCUACCAAGGCUCGACGGGUAGCCGGCCUGAGAGGGCGACCGGCCACCACUGGGACUGAGACACGGCCCAGACUCCUACGGGAGGCAGCAGUGGGGAAUAUUGCGCAAUGGGCGGAAGCCUGACGCAGCGACGCCGCGUGAGGGAUGACGGCCUU